CCUACGGGAGGCAGCAGUAGGGAAUCUUUCACAAUGGGCGAAAGCCUGAUGGAGCAACGCCGCGUGCAGGAUGAAGGCCUUCGGGUUGUAAACUGCUUUUAUAAGCGAGAAAUAUGAUGGUAACUUAUGAAUAAGGAUUGGCUAACUACGUGCCAGCAGCCGCGGUCAUACGUAGGAUCCGAGCAUUAUCCGGAGUGACUGGGUGUAAAGAGUUGCGUAGGUGGCAUAAUAAGUAGCUAGUGAAAUCUGGUGGCUCAACCAUUCAGACUAUUAGCUAAACUGUUAAGCUCGAGACCGUUAGGGGUAACUGGAAUUUCUAGUGUAGGAGUGAAAUCCGUAGAUAUUAGAAGGAACACCAAUAGCGUAGGCAGGUUGCUGGGACGGUUCUGACACUAAGGCACGAAAGCGUAGGGAGCAAACGGGAUUAGAUACCCGUGUAGUC
rnacentral:rRNA from 1 species